GGAGCGCAGAGAGGCGGAGAGACGAGGUCGGAAAACAGAUUAAAACCAACGUUUGAACUGUUGCCUCGGUUUGUCAGUACUGUGAAAAAACGUACUUAGUGAAGAAGCCUGGCAGUCUAAACAAGCUUUGAAGCUGCCUUUUUGUCGAACACGAGUGAGGCUGGACGCUGAACACACCUGCGGCGUGAAGGUGUCACCACGUAGCCCACGAUCACAGAGACAUGGUCCAUGAUCAGAGAGACAUUGUUGAGGAUGAGGGAGACAUGGUCCACGUUCAGAGACGUUGUCCAUGAUCGCAGAGACCUUGUCAAAGAUGAGAGAGACGUUGUCCAUGAUCAGAGAUAUUGUCCCAUGCUUCGUAGAGACCUUGCGAUAGAAUCGGCGGAGACGGGGGUCACCGAUUUGAAGGCAUUGCCCGCGAUCAUGGAGACAUUGUCGAUGAUCACAGAGACAGCGUCUAUGAUCUCAGAGACAUCGUCCACGAUCUCAAAGACAUUGUCCAUGAUCGCAGAGACUUUGUCCAUAAUCUCAGAGACAUUGUCCGUGAUCACAGGGACGUAGUCCACGAUCACAGAGAGUCUUCGUACAACGAAGAAGUUCUUUGAGACCAGGACAGAGGCCUCAAGGUGUCACCACGUAGCCCACGAUCACAGAGACAUGGUCCAUGAUCAGAGAGACAUUGUUGAGGAUGAGGGAGACAUGGUCCACGUUCAGAGACGUUGUCCAUGAUCGCAGAGACCUUGUCAAAGAUGAGAGAGACAUUGACCAUGAUCAGAGAUAUUGUCCCAUGCUUCGUAGAGACCUUGCGAUAGAAUCGGCGGAGACGGGGGUCACCGAUUUGAAGGCAUUGCCCGCGAUCAUGGAGACAUUGUCGAUGAUCACAGAGACAGCGUCUAUGAUCUCAGAGACAUCGUCCACGAUCUCAAAGACAUUGUCCAUGAUCGCAGAGACUUUGUCCAUAAUCUCAGAGACAUUGUCCGUGAUCACAGGGACGUAGUCCACGAUCACAGAGUCUUCGUACAACGAAGAAGUUCUUUGAGACCAGGACAGAGGCCUCAAGAUAAUUCACAAACCGCUUUACAUCAACUGUCCAAUACAGAAUACUGACAUUAAACUGUUUAUAUUUAGUAUUCAGUAUAUUAGAAGUGUAAAAUAGAAGUAAUAUGCAAUAUAAAAAUAAUGUAGAAGUAAUC